rnacentral:rRNA from 1 species
CUACGGAGGUUGCAAGCGUUACUCGGAAUCACUGGGCGUAAAGCGCGCGCAGGCGGUCUUUUAAGUUGGAUGUGAAAGCCUACGGCUCAACCGUAGAACUGCAUCCAAAACUAUUAGACUAGAGUGUGGGAGAGGAAGAUGGAAUUAGUUGUGUAGGGGUAAAAUCCGUAGAGAUAACUAGGAAUACCAAAAGCGAAGGCAAUCUUCUGGAACACUACUGACGCUGAGGCGCGAAAGCGUGGGGAGCAAACAGGAUUAGAAACCCCAGUAGUCC